AUCCCAUCCCUGUUGCUAAGUGAAAUAUCACAUGAUUGCAACUGUUCUUAUGACAUUACUUCAACUUUCCUUUGCUUUACAGAUUUGAGAAGGUCGUAAUUGAAGGCAUCAGUCAUAAGGUUACUUUUCAUCAUUGUUCCAACUGCAAAUAGUUACUGUCCAAGGGAGUUACUAAACAAGGACUCCUGUAGACCACCGUGAUAUGGAUGCAAUGAGCAGUUUGCUUGCUUGUCUUAACAACAAUUGAAAGUUCCUAUGGACUCUCAUUAUAAGAGUGUAAAUAUGAUGUAAUCAGGGCAUAGGUUACCAUAGCCAGGUUGGACCAUUUGAAUAAAACCUAAUUAGAGGGAGUUGUGUAAACAUGCACUUUGUCUCCACCUUCAUUGGAAAUCUGAGGACAGAAAAUGAUCAAAGAGAACUCCCAUUAUUGCAAUAGGAAGAGAAAUGCACUUGCUUGGGAUGAAAAUCACAUAAAAACAUGAUACAACAUUUCAUCAACGAGCAUCCAUCAGCAAAAAAAUACAUGGAGACUUCUGGAAAUUGGAACUUUCUGACAAACAAGAAGUUAGAGGUCCAAGGAUAUGGAGAGAGAAAGAAAGAGAAACUAAAAUUGGUGUUUUGGAGAUUGUGCCAAGGUCCACGGUGCAGUUCUCCUCCUCCUCCAAGUUCUUCUCAAGUUUGACAUCCUUCUUGCUGCCCCUUCAGUUGGACUCCAAGAGGAGAAGGGAUCUGGGCUUGAGACCAUCUCUGAAAAGAAGCUAGAUUUGCAGAAAGAAUUUAGCAUGAGCCUAAAACUCUCACGGCAGCUUCUUCGCAAAACAAAGGCUCUUACAAGAUCUUACGAUGCCAAACGAUUGUCACAGAUAGCCAAGACCAUUUCAUUUUAUCACAAGUUAGUACAACAACUGACAAACUUUGAAGCAAUCAAAGAAAAUUCCAAAUUCUCCUCUCAGUUUGAAGGUAUCGAUAUUGACCUCCGAGAUCUUGGUUAUCAAGUGGAUUACCAGAUUAAAUCUGGGGGCCUAUCAUCUGAUAUCCAGCCUAUAUCAACUCCUCAGAUCCUUCAACACCACAGGCAGUGGACGAACCGCCAAGAAGUAUAUAUUGUCCUUCGUUCUCUUGAAAGCUUCCUGCUUCGGGUUGCACGAGAUUUUUGGAUGCUCAGGAUGAGGAUGUCUAAAGUGGCUUCACCUUCCAAGAUUUUCUAAUCUUAACAUUUCCUGUUUUAAACUCCAUCACCUGAUUCCAAACAACUAAGGAAUACUGACAUCCUGGUAUCUCGGUGUUCAUGCUGUUCUUUAAAUUAUCUAAAAUAUCUAAUUUAUAUAUCUAUUUAUUUUUUCUAAAUAUUUUAUUAUUUUAACUUAUUUGUUAAAGCAGUGUUUUGGCCAGUUCACAUAUACAACUGUUCAGUGAAUGCACUUUCUCAUGACAAUGUAAAAGUUAUUGUUUUUUAAAGGUCAGAAAGAAUUGCCAGCUAGUUUGCAGGGAAUUUUAAAUAUUGUGUUUAUCCAUAAAAAUAUGGAUGGCUACUAUUUUAUCUGUUUUUUUAAAAUGGCUAGUUACUCAAAUGGGCCAGAGAAUUUUGAAGGUAUCUACAGAAAGAUAUACAGUAUAAAUGUAUAAUCCCAAUGGAUUAUGGAGAAACUAUUUUUUAAUUUUCUAAAACAGAUCUGAGUAAAUGUGCAUAUGGUAUAAAAUAUAUGUUUUGAGUGAUACUGCC
rnacentral:lncRNA from 1 species